GUUUCAGUUUUGUCUGUCUUUUUUUAACCGUGUGCUUCAGUUUUGUCUGUUUGUUUUUUAACCGUGUGCUUCACUUUUGUCUGUUUGUUUUUUAACCGUGUGCUUCACUUUUGUCUGUGUGUUUUUUAACCGUGUGCUUCAGUUUCAGGUGUUUGAUUAUUUUUUUACUGUGUGCUUCAGUUUUGUCUGUGUGUUUUUUUUUUUUUUUUACUGUGUUCUUCAGUUUUGUGUCUGUGGUUUUCUUUAACCGGUGCUUCAGUUUUGUCUGUGUGGUUUUUUAACUGUGUGCUUCAUUUCAUUUUACCUUGUGCAUCGUUUUGUUUUGUUGUUUUAUAUCUCGUGCUUCGGUUUCGUCUAGUUUGCUUACCUUGCUGCGGCUCAUCCUUAAGAGUGUGAAGACUAGCAGGUACAAAGGGUAAACAACCAAGCAGCUGACUAAUCCUGCUGCUACCGUCUCUCCGUUUACAGCAGAAAACUGUGACACGGGUCUCAGGCUGCAACAAAGGAUGACAACACGUAAAGAUAAACAAGGACCACUUCAAAAGAGAGGAG